AAUUAUCUGUUUGAACAUUUGAAAUGUUUAGAUUCAAAGAAAAAUAUUUGCAAUGUUACCAUGUAUAUUCAAAGGAAAAUAGCCACUGAAUUUGGUCGCAAGCAGUUGACUCUUGCACCAUCCAGUGUCACCGAGCACCACACCUUCAAGGAGACAGAGUCUGUUCUAAAUUAUGUUGAAUCGUUUCUUAGCCUUUCAGCCUACCUGGGUAUUUCUUAUUCUUUAGCCUAAUCUGGUUUUAUUAUUGCUAUUUCUAAGCAUGCUCUAUAACAUGAGCAUAUGGCAAGAUGAUAAACCGGUGCAUAGGGAUUGUCGUCGGGAUAGAUGCAUUUAAGAACUCCACUAUCAUUCUCACCUCAACAUGGCUUUUCUGCACCAAGAAACCUUUGUAUGAUUGGACAAAAAAAUGGAGUACCCUACUGAGGCAAAGGUCUUCCAGUUGGUCUAUGUGCCUCGGUGGAUGUUCUUGUAGAGGGUCAGUAAUGCUUUACAGCUUAAGAUCAAUUCGUCACCACAGUACGAGAAUAACACCAACGUAACAGCUGCAUCGACAUGAACAUUCGGUCUGGUAUGCCCAGCGCGUUACUUAUAGAGCAGAAAUGCAUCCAGCCUUAAGAUGGAUUAUGAUAUGCCAUAUCCUUAUGCACCUACCCUUUUUCUUUACUCACCAACAACAGACAUUUUUUUUUGUUUUCACAAAACUGUAUAUGCCUUCAUCCAAUUUAGGCUUCGUAAUAAAUCCAAAAUCCUACACAGGAUAGGUAACCUGUUAUUUUUUGCACCCAGUCUUAGAGGUUCAGACCUCACGGAUGUGAGUUUAAUAUCAAUAUGUAUGCUUGUUUGAUUGAA